AGUAGGGAUGGGCCGAUAUCGAUACCAAAUGCUCGAUACUAUCGAUACCAGGGUUUUGAAGAAAAGUAUCGAUACUGGGAAGAAAUAUCGAUUGUUUCGAUAUUUCUGAGCCUGCGAUAUUUUUUAUUUUGCUCAGCGGACUCAUCAUGACAAUGAUACCCAAAAAGCCUAAAUAGGCGUAAAUACAGAGUUCGUGGUUAUGUUAGUUACAAUCAUGAGAAUAAACGUGUUGAAAACGUAUUCAACCAGCAUGAUUUUGGCGUCGAAGAGAUGAAAAUAGUCUUUUGUUGUUGUGGUUGUUCGAGUUGGGAAAAUAUCGAUAUACCAAUAUCGAUAUCGAAAAAAAAUGGCAAAUAUCGAGUAAUAUCGUAUCGAAUGAAAAAGCUAGUAUCGCCCAUCCCUAGUUGUGAGUACAGGAAGAUAUAUCGUGCAUGGUAUAUAGGACCAUGGCGACAGCAUUUUGAUAACGAACCAUUGCAAAUUAUGGCGUGGCGACCUUCUGUUUGUCUCUAUUCUGUGAUUUGGAUAAUCCAAAAUUGUGAAUCACGUAAUGUAAACCUAAGUCACCUUAAUAUUUAAUAAUGGCACUUUUCUUGUAGAAACUCCCGUAGUGUACAUCAGCCUAAAAAUGUAUGCAAAUUGUCAGCAAAUUAGGUAUAUGCUAAUAAUGAUAUUAUUGAAAGCAAUAUUGUAGCAGGGCUGAUAUUUUAUCACGGUACUCGCGGCAAUAUUGCCGUAGUUCGAGAGGAAAAUGCCGUGGACCACUAUGGGAGUUAGUUUAGCUGUAAUGACUAAUGUAAUUUUGGGGGGAAUUGGUGUUAUCAGUAUACAGAAAAUUAUGUAAUGAUUUUUCUCUGUGUAUCCUGUAGGACCUGUAGAUGUUGUAAUGUUACUCAUAAAAUGUUUUGUAGUUUAUGUGUAAUCGUAAUAAAUAUUGAAAUCUCUAAACGCAGAAGAAUGAUUUUCUACCACAACUGAGGUGCCACCCACAAUGCAUAUGACAUAUUACAUGAAAAAUGCCGUAGAACUGACGAAAAUUGCCGUAUAGAGAGACGCUGGGCUCUGCGCCAAUUUUUGACGCCGUUGCCGGGGAAGGCGAUUCCAGGCCCGUACUUGCAGUCUGCAUGAUAGCGCCGUAGCUUGAGCGUAUACAGUAAAACCCC